rnacentral:rRNA from 1 species
UACGAAGGGGGCUAGCGUUGCUCGGAAUCACUGGGCGUAAAGCGCACGUAGGCGGCUUUCUAAGUCAGGGGUGAAAUCCUGGAGCUCAACUCCAGAACUGCCUUUGAUACUGGAGAGCUUGAGUCCGGAAGAGGUGAGUGGAACUCCGAGUGUAGAGGUGAAAUUCGUAGAUAUUCGGAAGAACACCAGUGGCGAAGGCGGCUCACUGGUCCGGUACUGACGCUGAGGUGCGAAAGUGUGGGGAGCGAACAGG